GCGAGUGUAGCUCAGUUGGUUAGAGCGCCGGCCUGUCACGCCGGAGGUCGCGGGUUCGAGCCCCGUCACUCGCGCCA
rnacentral:tRNA from 1 species